rnacentral:rRNA from 1 species
AGCAUGUGCCAGCCGCCGCGGUAAUACGGAGGAUGCGAGCGUUAUCCGGAUUUAUUGGGUUUAAAGGGUGCGUAGGCGGUUUAUUAAGUUAGUGGUUAAAUAUUUGAGCUAAACUCAAUUGUGCCAUUAAUACUGGUAAACUGGAGUACAGACGAGGUAGGCGGAAUAAGUUAAGUAGCGGUGAAAUGCAUAGAUAUAACUUAGAACUCCGAUAGCGAAGGCAGCUUACCAGACUGUAACUGACGCUGAUGCACGAGAGCGUGGGUAGCGAACAGGAUUAGAUACCCUGGUAGUCCACGCCGUAAACGAUGCUCACUGGUUCUGUGCGAUAUAUUGUACGGGAUUAAGCGAAAGUAUUAAGUGAGCCACCUGGGGAGUACGUCGGCAACGAUGAAACUCAAAGGAAUUGACGGGGGCCCGCACAAGCGGAGGAACAUGUGGUUUAAUUCGAUGAUACGCGAGGAACCUUACCCGGGCUUGAAAGUUAGCGACGAUUCUUGAAAGAGGAUUUCCCUUCGGGGCGCGAAACUAGGUGCUGCAUGGUUGUCGUCAGCUCGUGCCGUGAGGUGUCGGGUUAAGUCCCAUAACGAGCGCAACCCUUACCGUUAGUUGCUAGCAUGUAAUGAUGAGCACUCUAACGGGACUGCCACCGUAAGGUGAGAGGAAGGCGGGGAUGACGUCAAAUCAGCACGGCCCUUACACCCAGGGCUACACACGUGUUACAAUGGCCGGUACAGAGGGCCGCUACCAGGUGACUGGAUGCCAAUCUCAAAAGCCGGUCGUAGUUCGGAUUGGAGUCUGUAACCCGACUCCAUGAAGUUGGAUUCGCUAGUAAUCGCGCAUCAGCCAUGGCGCGGUGAAUACGUUCCCGGGCC